rnacentral:snRNA from 1 species
GUCAUUGCACUUUUGCAUAACAAGCAAAUCUUUCACCUUGUACAAAAGAUUUCCGUGAAAAGGAGUAGAUUGAGUAAAUUUAUUGUUGUUUCUGCUCUCAUUUCAGACAA